GAUGAACGCUGGCGGCGUGCCUAAUACAUGCAAGUCGAGCGAACAGAUGAGAAGCUUGCUUCUCUGAUGUUAGCGGCGGACGGGUGAGUAACACGUGGGUAACCUACCUAUAAGACUGGGAUAACUCCGGGAAACCGGGGCUAAUACCGGAUAAUAUUUUGAACCGCAUGGUUCGAUAGUGAAAGACGGUUUCGGCUGUCACUUAUAGAUGGACCCGCGCCGUAUUAGCUAGUUGGUAAGGUAACGGCUUACCAAGGCGACGAUACGUAGCCGACCUGAGAGGGUGAUCGGCCACACUGGAACUGAGACACGGUCCAGACUCCUACGGGAGGCAGCAGUAGGGAAUCUUCCGCAAUGGGCGAAAGCCUGACGGAGCAACGCCGCGUGAGUGAUGAAGGUCUUCGGAUCGUAAAACUCUGUUGUUAGGGAAGAACAAAUUUGUUAGUAACUGAACAAGUCUUGACGGUACCUAACCAGAAAGCCACGGCUAACUACGUGCCAGCAGCCGCGGUAAUACGUAGGUGGCAAGCGUUAUCCGGAAUUAUUGGGCGUAAAGCGCGCGUAGGCGGUUUCUUAAGUCUGAUGUGAAAGCCCACGGCUCAACCGUGGAGGGUCAUUGGAAACUGGGAAACUUGAGUGCAGAAGAGGAGAGUGGAAUUCCAUGUGUAGCGGUGAAAUGCGCAGAGAUAUGGAGGAACACCAGUGGCGAAGGCGGCUCUCUGGUCUGUAACUGACGCUGAUGUGCGAAAGCGUGGGGAUCAAACAGGAUUAGAUACCCUGGUAGUCCACGCCGUAAACGAUGAGUGCUAAGUGUUAGGGGGUUUCCGCCCCUUAGUGCUGCAGCUAACGCAUUAAGCACUCCGCCUGGGGAGUACGACCGCAAGGUUGAAAC
rnacentral:rRNA from 1 species